rnacentral:rRNA from 1 species
AUUGAACGCUGGCGGCAUGCUUUACACCUGCAAGUCGAACGGCAGCGCGGGCUUCGGCCUGGCGGCGAGUGGCGAACGGGUGAGUAAUACAUCGGAACGUGCCCAGUAGUGGGGGAUAGCUCGGCGAAAGCCGGAUUAAUACCGCAUACGACCUGAGGGUGAAAGCGGGGGAUCUUCGGACCUCGCGCUAUUGGAGCGGCCGAUGGCAGAUUAGCUAGUUGGUGGGGUAAAGGCCUACCAAGGCGACGAUCUGUAGCUGGUCUGAGAGGACGACCAGCCACACUGGGACUGAGACACGGCCCAGACUCCUACGGGAAGCAGCAGUGGGGAAUUUUGGACAAUGGGCGAAAGCCUGAUCCAGCAAUGCCGCGUGUGUGAUGAAGGCCUUCGGGUUGUAAAGCACUUUUGGCGGGAACGAAAAGGACUGUGCCAAUACCACGGUUCGAUGACGGUACCCGCAGAAUAAGCACCGGCUAACUACGUG